UACGUAGGGGGCAAGCGUUGUCCGGAUUCAUUGGGCGUAAAGAGCGUGUAGGCGGCCAGGUAGGUCGGUUGUGAAAACUGGAGGCUCAACCUUCAGACGUCGACCGAAACCAUCUGGCUAGAGUCCGGGAGAGGAGAGUGGAAUUCCUGGUGUAGCGGUGAAAUGCGCAGAUAUCAGGAAGAACACCCGUGGCGAAAGCGGCUCUCUGGAACGGUACUGACGCGAGACGGCGAAAGCGUGGGGAGCGAACAGG
rnacentral:rRNA from 1 species